GUCUUUAGUGUCUUUAAGUAAAACCAGAAAAAAAUUGCUUUUCUCGCGAACGUAAGUAAUUCCGUUCUUGAACGACCGUAAAAGCAACAUCCGAACCGUUUGGAUCCAAAAAGCCUGUGUUUCAAAAUAGUGGGCCUUUCUGCUGUGCAAGUUUAACUUGCUUGACGAUAAUACCUUCAGUAUCCUCCAUCCCAUGUAUCAUGACUAGAAAUUUGAAACCUCACAAACACCUUGGAACUAAAUACGAAAAGUAACAUGUCGACAAUAUCCCGAGCCGUAAUCGUGUUGACUGAGACUUAAUUCCACGAUACGACUUAACCUGUUUCAUUAUGUGGAUAAGAAGUUCACGGCCGGUCUGAUGGCCUCGUCGACCAGACUAAGAUAAAUCUCAACUACCGAAUCAUCCAUUUCCUCCCAUACGCUACACGGGGAAGCGCCGUGAUCGAGCGCCGGUUGUACGCUUCUCCGCCUUUUCUACUGGAUUCAGCUAAUCGGGAUCAACCUUGGGCCAAGUGAUAUGCUUCCGAAGGUGAAAUUGUUGAGUGGACAUCCGUACGGAAGAGGUCGUAUAAACGCAGCUUAUGUAUCCAGUGUCCUGCACUCGGUAAUGGCGGUGAGUGUGGCAAAAUAUGUUUUGAUAUGAUUAUGAUAGCUAUAUUAGGCAAUAAAUUAAAUAUAUAACAGAUA